UUGAAUAAGAAAAGUAAUGAAAAUAAGGGCGUCAUUAGCUUUUCUAAAAUUUUUAAUUUGAGAGGUAUCAUGACCAAACACAGGGUUGGAUUGUAAGACAAUCAUGUUCGAUCCCUCAAUACCUUCGAGAAAAAAUAUGUUCUGUCAUUCUUAAUUAAACUUGUGCUAUUACACAGUGUUCGAGAGAUUCUGAGAGAUUACUCUUGUAAAUCGUGUUUUUAGUUACAUUAUAUUGAGCGUGGGCAAAUGCUCCCACUAAAUCGGAAAAAAAGUGAAGAGUUUUACAUUGAGAGGGGAGGGCUGCCUCCAUUUAAAUUUCAAUAAUACCUCUCUUACCUGUAUUUAACAACCGAAUCAUAUCAAUUUUGGUAUUUAUUUUGUGUUAAUCUUCAUUUGGUUUAUUUGUAUGCUCUGCAGUCGUGUCAACUUAAAAAUGUGGCUAUGGCAACAACUGCAUGCACGGAUGGAGCUAGCAACCGACCCAUGUCCCCUCGAGCUCAUUUUCCGCGCCGAUCCAACAAGAUAUGUUCGCUCAUACUCGAUUGUUGUGCAGUACACUCUUCGAAGCUCAUAUUCUGAAUCAAAAGAGAUUGGAGGCAAUCAAGGACUGGAAAAACAAAUGUUGCAUUUCAGGUGUUUGAGAAAGUGCCUAAGAGAGAGAGAGAGAGAGAGAGAGAAGUAUGGUGACGACUGACCCCCUCCUCCAACUCGUAGAAAGUGUUCACCAGAAUGAAAUCAGCCUUGUUCGAGUUUGAAAACUGGUUAGUCAGCAUCUCAAAGUAGGCUGGAUACGACUCCGGUGUCGAAACCAGCGACGGCACAACCGCAGCACCCACUUCCGGCCUCCCCGGCAGCGACACCGGGGAAACCGGUGCCCUCACCACCCAAUUCACGGCGCAAUACUGAGUGAAGAACACAGCAGCGGCCGACCCAAACUCCCUGGCCAAGUCCAAUCCCCAGCUCAAGAAUGAGUCUUACACAAUGCACCGAAAGGGGCGGCCGGAGCUCCGCAGUUGUCAGAUGAGUUCGCCGAUGGUACGGGUGCCCUCGGCCUGGAAACGGGAGAUGUAGGCCUCAGCACUGUCAGCCUGGGCAAACCCACCUUCGUCGAAAACAUCGGAGAAGGUGGCGAAGCGGACGGCGGAGACGGUGGGAGAUGGAUUUAACGAUAGGCAGUUUGACUUUUAUAUAUUAUUUAUAUUAUAUAUAAAUAUAUUAAAAUAUUAAGUCGUUAGCUGAUUUAAUUCAAGUUCGGUUCAAUCUAUUUUGUGUUUCCGUUAAUAUACAAUUUUAAUUUGGUUCAGCUGAGAUUUUUUAAUUGAAAUUUUUCGGUUGAUUCA